ACAGGUCUCGUAGGUAUAACAGGUCUAGCAGGUAUAACAGGUCUCGUAGGUAUAACAGGUCUAGUAGGUAUAACAGGUCUCGUAGGUAUAACAGGUCUCGUAGGUUUAACAGGUCUCGUAGGUAUAACAGGUCUCGUAGGUAUAACAGGUCUCGUAGGUAUAACAGGUCUAGUAGGUAUAACAGGUCUAGCAGGUAUAACAGGUCUAGCAGGUAUAACAGGUCUAGUAGGUAUAACAGGUCU